UGUCUGCCCACCUGCCUGCCUCUCUGUCAUCUGAAGGAGGCAGGGGCCGGGCUGCAGC
rnacentral:pre_miRNA from 1 species